CUGAUUGACUGAGCGAACACUCCUAUAUAACAUCUCUUCACUGCACAGAUAAUAGAUCAUAUGGUCCACAACAUAUAUAUGUAUAACAUCUCUUUACUGCACAGAUAAUAGAUCAUAUGGUCCAUAACAUAUACAUGUAUAACAUAUCUUUACUGCACAGAUAAUAGAUCAUAUGGUCCAUAACAUAUACACGUAUAACAUAUCUUUACUGCACAGAUAAUAGAUCAUAUGGUCCACAACAUAUACAUGUAUACAUCUCAAAAUAAAUUAAAACACUUGCAGUAAUAAUUAUUUUUGUUCAGCAUUGGAAUGGAUAUUCACUUCACAGGGAAUCAUCAAGUAACAAGUGCAAAAAUAAACAAUUGAAUAAAUAAAAACAUUAGCUAACAACACAUACAUUGAAAUUAACUGAUACAAUGACGAAUAAUAGCUUAUCGUUGAGGAGGCAUGAAGGUUUACCCUUCAAAGCUGGGAAUGUCCGUUUUCCUUUAUACUUGACAUAAAGCAUAAUUCCAAGGAAUAUAGAGUCACGGUAACACUGUUUCAUGUCACAAACAUAUACUUCUGAUGAGUAGCGUAGUCUACACAAAAUAACAGUAUUAUUUACCACAGUAUGACAAUCUGCUUGACAAAUGUUUCCAAUACCUUUUCACACUGCUGAACAAACCAAGCUGAUCUGGUUACUCAUUAACCAUAGAUGCUGGAACCGUGUUUGUAUCGGUCCCUACCCAAAUAAACCAUCAAAUAAAACAUAUCUGAGCUAGUACAGCACAUUUUUGGUCGCUAUUAUAGUGUGAAAAGGGUAUAACUAUGUGGAGAGGAGGAACGUUAGUAUUCCGUAACAAGAGAAGUGUUUCAGACUAAAACAACAACACAAGCUGAUUCAUAACGAGGUCCAAGUUAGUACUAUACAACAGGGAGGUCCAAGUCAGUUAGUACUAUACAACAGGGAGGUCCAAGUUAGUUAGUACUAUACAACAGGGAGGUCCAAGUUAGUUAGUACUAUACAACAGGGAGGUCCAAGUCAGUUAGUACUAUACAACAGGGAGGUCCAAGUUAGUUAG
rnacentral:lncRNA from 1 species